GAUGAAGAACGUAGCGAAACGCGAUAAGUAAUGUGAAUUGCAGAAUUUAGUGAAUCAUCGAGUCUUUGAACGCACAUUGCGCCCCCUGGUAUUCCGGGGGGCAUGCCUGUCCGAGCGUCAUUGCUGCCCUCAAGCACGGCUUGUGUGUUGGGCCUCCGUCCUCCUCCCGGGGGACGGGCCCGAAAGGCAGCGGCGGCACCGCGUCCGGUCCUCGAGCGUAUGGGGCUUCGUCACCCGCUCUUGUAGGCCCGGCCGGCGCUUGCCGACACAUCAAUCUUUUUUCCAGGUUGACCUCGGAUCAGGUAGGGAUACCCGCUGAACUUAAGCAUAUCAAUAAGCGGAGGA
rnacentral:misc_RNA from 1 species